rnacentral:lncRNA from 1 species
UAGAGACAUCCACUCAUCUGAAUCUAAGCAUGCCGGACAACUGGCCAUGAAGAACAAGCAAGAUGAGCUCUCAACCUCCUCUUACCUUAGGAAAACUAAAUGCAAACCAACGAGGGGAGGAGCUCCCACAGCACAGAGCAAAAGUAAGACACUGUCUCAUAAAUCCAAAGUUGAGAAGACACAAAGCCUUCACAGAGCAGGAAGGGCUGAGGGAGAAUGGCACUUCUCAGAGAAAGCAGUUCUUAGUAGGUUGUGGGGUCCCACAGACAGGCAUGAGACGGAGCCUACGACUUCAAUGAUUAAAGCAACUGAAAAGCUA